GAUGAACGCUGGCGGCGUGCCUAAUACAUGCAAGUCGAGCGAACAGAUAAGGAGCUUGCUCCAUUGACGUUAGCGGCGGACGGGUGAGUAACACGUGGGUAACCUACCUAUAAGACUGGGAUAACUUCGGGAAACCGGAGCUAAUACCGGAUAAUAUUUCGAACCGCAUGGUUCGAUAGUGAAAGAUGGCCCUGCUAUCACUUAUAGAUGGACCUGCGCCGUAUUAGCUAGUUGGUAAGGUAACGGCUUACCAAGGCAACGAUACGUAGCCGACCUGAGAGGGUGAUCGGCCACACUGGAACUGAGACACGGUCCAGACUCCUACGGGAGGCAGCAGUAGGGAAUCUUCCGCAAUGGGCGGAAGCCUGACGGAGCAACGCCGCGUGAGUGAUGAAGGUCUUCGGAUCGUAAAACUCUGUUAUUAGGGAAGAACAAACGUGUAAGUAACUGUGCACGUCUUGACGGUACCUAAUCAGAAAGCCACGGCUAACUGCGUGCCAGCAGCCGCGGUAAUACGUAGGUGGCAAGCGUUAUCCGGAAUUAUUGGGCGUAAAGCGCGCGUAGGCGGUUUUUUAAGUCUGAUGUGAAAGCCCACGGCUCAACCGUGGAGGGUCAUUGGAAACUGGAAAACUUGAGUGCAGAAGAGGAAAGUGGAAUUCCAUGUGUAGCGGUGAAAUGCGCAGAGAUAUGGAGGAACACCAGUGGCGAAGGCGACUUUCUGGUCUGUAACUGACGCUGAUGUGCGAAAGCGUGGGGAUCAAACAGGAUUAGAUACCCUGGUAGUCCACGCCGUAAACGAUGAGUGCUAAGUGUUAGGGGGUUUCCGCCCCUUAGUGCUGCAGCUAACGCAUUAAGCACUCCGCCUGGGGAGUACGACCGCAAGGUUGAAACUCAAAGGAAUUGACGGGGACCCGCACAAGCGGUGGAGCAUGUGGUUUAAUUCGAAGCAACGCGAAGAACCUUACCAAAUCUUGACAUCCUUUGACCCUUCUAGAGAUAGAAGUUUCCCCUUCGGGGGACAAAGUGACAGGUGGUGCAUGGUUGUCGUCAGCUCGUGUCGUGAGAUGUUGGGUUAAGUCCCGCAACGAGCGCGACCCUUAAGCUUAGUUGCCAUCAUUAAGUUGGGCACUCUAAGUUGACUGCCGGUGACAAACCGGAGGAAGGUGGGGAUGACGUCAAAUCAUCAUGCCCCUUAUGAUUUGGGCUACACACGUGCUACAAUGGACAAUACAAAGGGCAGCGAAACCGCGAGGUCAAGCAAAUCCCAUAAAGUUGUUCUCAGUUCGGAUUGUAGUCUGCAACUCGACUACAUGAAGCUGGAAUCGCUAGUAAUCGUAGAUCAGCAUGCUACGGUGAAUACGUUCCCGGGUCUUGUACACACCGCCCGUCACACCACGAGAGUUUGUAACACCCGAAGCCGGUGGAGUAACCAUUUGGAGCUAGCCGUCGAAGGUGGGACAAAUGAUUGGGGUGAAGUCGUAACAAGGUAGCCGCAUCGGAAGG
rnacentral:rRNA from 1 species